AAGCACAUCUGGCCCACAAGGCACCCUACCUGCCCGGGAGACUCCUGCUGGGGCUGCAGUAGCCCAGGGGCCUGGGCUGGCUGCAGAAGCCAAGGAGUCGAUGGCUAGUCCCUGGGCUCCUGGUGAAAACACUGUGUUGAGACCUGAACAUGACAUCCAGAAAUGUGAGCACUCCAGUAACCCUGUCUCAUUACCCCUGGACACCAGCCACCUUCCUACAGCUGGGGAUGGCACAGCCAGGCCAGCACCACCCCGCAGAGUGCUGCUGCCCACACCCCCUAGCACCACCUUUCCACCCAGCUUCCCUUUGCAACCUGAGGCACAGAAUUUUAGUUCUGGAGGCAGGGAGCCUUUCUCAGGGCCCACAUUUCUGUCUCAGGAAACAUCUCUUGGUUCAUCCC
rnacentral:lncRNA from 1 species